GAAGCCUUCGGGUGGAAGAUUUGUGGAUUGAGCGGCGGACGGGUGAGUAACACGUGGGCAACCUACCUAUAAGACUGGGAUAACUCGUGGAAACAGGAGCUAAUACCGGAUGUAUCGUUUGAACGCAUGUUCAAACAAAUAAAGGCGGCUUUACGGCUGUCACUUAUAGAUGGGCCCGCGGCGCAUUAGCUAGUUGGUGGGGUAAUGGCUCACCAAGGCGACGAUGCGUAGCCGACCUGAGAGGGUGAUCGGCCACACUGGGACUGAGACACGGCCCAGACUCCUACGGGAGGCAGCAGUAGGGAAUCUUCCGCAAUGGACGAAAGUCUGACGGAGCAACGCCGCGUGAACGAUGAAGGUUUUCGGAUCGUAAAGUUCUGUUGUUAGGGAAGAACACGUACCGUUCAAAUAGGGCGGUACCUUGACGGUACCUAACGAGAAAGCCCCGGCUAACUACGUGCCAGCAGCCGCGGUAAUACGUAGGGGGCAAGCGUUGUCCGGAAUUAUUGGGCGUAAAGCGCGCGCAGGCGGUCUUUUAAGUCUGAUGUGAAAUCUUGCGGCUCAACCGCAAGCGGUCAUUGGAAACUGGAAGACUUGAGUGCAGAAGAGGAGAGUGGAAUUCCAUGUGUAGCGGUGAAAUGCGUAGAUAUAUGGAGGAACACCAG
rnacentral:rRNA from 1 species